UAAGGAAUAUUGGUCAAUGGACGCAAGUCUGAACCAGCCAUGCCGCGUGGAGGAUGAAGGUCCUCUGGAUUGUAAACUUCUUUUAUCUGGGACGAAACACUUCUUUUCUAAGAGGCCUGACGGUACCAGAUGAAUAAGCACCGGCUAACUCCGUGCCAGCAGCCGCGGUAAUACGGAGGGUGCAAGCGUUAUCCGGAUUCACUGGGUUUAAAGGGUGCGUAGGUGGGUAUGUAAGUCAGAGGUGAAAUCCCCGAGCUUAACUUGGGAACUGCCUUCGAUACUAUAUAUCUUGAAUGCCGUAGAGGUAAGCGGAAUAUGUCAUGUAGCGGUGAAAUGCUUAGAUAUGACAUGGAACACCAAUUGCGAAGGCAGCUUACUAUGCGGUUAUUGACACUGAGGCACGAAAGCGUGGGUAGCAAACA
rnacentral:rRNA from 1 species